GGAGUCUGGUCCGUGUCUCAGUACCAGUGUGGGGGACCUUCCUCUCAGAACCCCUAAGGAUCGUCGCCUCGGUGGGCCGUUACCCCGCCGACUAGCUAAUCCUACGCACCGCCAUCCCAUACCGAUAAAUCUUCACCCGCCGUGUCAUGCGACACUGCGGGACCGCCGGGUAUUAACCUCCCUUUCAGGAGACUAUCCCCGUGUAUGGGCCAGGUUCGAUACGCGUUACGCACCCGUGCGCCGGUCGCCAUCAAGAGUAGCAAGCUACUCCCAUGCUGCCCCUCGACUUGCAUGUGUUAAGCCUGUAGCUAGCGUUCAUC
rnacentral:rRNA from 1 species